GUACCCGUAGCUCAAUUGGAUAGAGCGUUCGGCUACGAACCGAAAGGCUGGGGGUUCGAUUCCUCUCGGGUGCACCA
rnacentral:tRNA from 1 species